CAAGUUAAAGCUUGUAAGCUUACUUCAUCUCAGUAAUGCAGAAAACUCCUUAAACUGUUGAUUUUCUUUCGGAGGGCACUCUGAACUAUGCAAAAUAUCAUCUGAUUCCUCAAGGAAAACUAGGAAACAAUGAAUAAAAAGUACCUUCAAACUUUAUGAAUGUCUCGGCCACCCCCUGCUGCAUCCAUCAAAUACCAGAUUGAAUUAGUGAGAUUCAAAUACCAGAGAUUUUAUGGUGUCACUUGACCAUCAUUCACCAUUUACCUCAAGAUGCCUUUCUUCCCUCUGCUCUGAGCUCAGGUACAAGUGUCCAUUAUUGCUCUAAGAGCUAGUCUUGACUGGGCUUAAUUGAUAUUUCCAUUAGUCUGAUGAAUACAAAUGGCAUUAAAUACCAGGAUCAGACACAAAGUGAAUAUGAGUGAUCCUUUGCAGCCACCUGGGAAGGGUGAGUGGGGAUUUUUAAGGCAUAGUGGUGAGUACAAUUAGCAGGGCUAAUGUACCCUUUCCAUGGUUGAGAUGACACCAGAUG
rnacentral:lncRNA from 1 species